GCUGGGAUUACAGGUGCGUGCCACCAUGGCUGGCUAAUUUUUGUAUUUUUAGCAGAGAUGGGGUUUCACCAUGUUGGCCAGGCUGGUCUUGAACUCUUGACCUCAAGUGAUCCGCCUGCCUGAGACUCUCAAUGUGCUGGGAUUACAGGCGUGAGCCACCGCGCCCAGUGGCUUUUGCUUUUUAAGGUGGACAGAAACACCUUGCAGCUGUGCUUCGUUGCCCUUGCUGCUUUUGGGUGGAAACAUAGACUUAAGUUAGCAUAUUCAUCAGUUGAUCUCUUUUCUGUGAGAAGGGAAAGAAAUCGCAGUAUUUUGUGUGCACGGCAGGCUUUGAGGGCCCUUAUACUUUGAUUCUGUAGAUGCCCUGUCCUUCCUCGGGAGGCACUCAGCUGUGUACAGAGGCCCGUGUGGUCCUGUCCUGAGAGUAGCGGAAGGAAGACAUGGCUCUGCCUGGGGAGACUGUGCCUUAUGCAGAGGCGAACACCACAUGGAUGAGCUGGAAGCAGCCGCCGGCCUGGCUGCUCUGUCAGGUCAGGAAGGCUUUCUUGAGUCUAGUGUGGUCUGGCUCCCCCACUGUCCCCACUGCCUAGCACAGUGGGCACUCAAGUGUUUGUCUGUUGGAUCGGUUAAUUGGCAGGGACCAGUUGAAGCAAACAGAGAACAGCUGGUUGUCAUUCACUGUUUUCAGGACUGCUUAUGGUUGUUUUUGGUGUUUCUAUAAUAGUUCUAGGCAUGAAGUUCAGGACCACAGCACGCAAGACCACAAGGGACAGAUUUGCCUUCUAUAGAAAUAGGAAUGAGAGCUGAUGAAGAAGAGGUGGCUGCUUCCCAAAGUAUCACAUUGAUUGUCAUUUCUGCAUUUAGAAUGCGUGAGUGACCCCUAAGCUGCUCUUCAGGUUCUUCAGUGCUCUCUUUAUCUCUCUUGUGUAGUUUCUUGAAUCCAGGCGACUGACCCGCACGUCACAUUAUUAUCCCAGGGCUAGUUUCCCCCACGAUGGCGGAGUGGCCACAGCAGUUGCAGGCUUCACAUUUGGGCACAGCCUCCGUCACACCAACCUGACCAAGAGAAUAUGCCAGUUCCUCCUGGACUCCUCAGACUGGAAGAUUGUCCUUUCUCCUUGGCAAAUCAUCUGUACUAUCUGAUUGCAUCUUACAGUCUUCUUUAAAUAUUAUUGUUCCUUAACUGUUAAUGUGUCUGUGCCUUGAGGUCAGCCUCAGGUUCCAAUCCUGUUCCAUUUUGUUUGUGGAAUCUCAGGCAAGAUUGGUUUCUCUGAACUUUUUAAAGUUUUUUCAUCUUCAUCAUUCAGCAAAUCUUUAUUAGAUUCUCAGUGUUGUGCUUCAGUGGACGAAAUACAGACUGACACAAGGAGAUAACAGUUCAUUCACAGAGACAUAGUUUCUCCCACCUCCUCAGUUGCCUAUAGUGAUGGAGCUUUUUCUUGGAUCCGAAUGCCCCUACACAGUGAUUCUAACUCCCAACUGUAAGUCAGAAUCACACAGGAAGUGUUUAAAAUGCUGAAUGAGGCCUGGACUCCACCCUAGACCACUGAAGCCAGAAUUAUUGCAGGAAUGGCCUGAGGAUGCUCUGAUUCUAAGGUGUGGCCAGGUUCGACGACUGUUGUCUUAGGCCUUUGUCCAAUAUGGUUUAUGCUGCUCCCCUGCUAGGUGAGUACCACCGCGGAUUGGUUACCUGCUUUUAUGUGGAAAAUAGAAUAUAGGAAGCCGAUUGGGUGGAAAACAUCUCUUCCAGUGUAUGUAGAUCCCAUAAGGGGGACUUUGAAGUCUGGAGUUAACAGUUUUCUAAUAAAAGAUUUCAGACCAUGUCCACGAACUUAAAUACGUAAUUAAAGAGUGGAAUGCAAAUUAUUAAGAUUUUGCUGGUAAAGCAAGCUCUGCUUGCGUAAUUUAAAUCUUCGGAGGGCAUGUUUCCACAGAUCAUUAGGUGAAGGUUAAACUGAGACAACAAACAGCGGACGCCUUCCUUAGCUAGCAUACCUCUUUUUGCAUUCUUUUAUUUUCAACAGAUAGUAAUUUUGCAGCUUUUUACUUCUUCAACCAAACCUUCUAAGUAACUUUGCUUUCCAUUAACAACAAAGCAGCUCAUUAAGGGGGAAGUUCUGUGCUUAAUCUUAACACUGGAAGGAGAGGAGUCUAUUUACCAGCUAAUGUAAGUACUUCUCAUUAGGCAGUCCUAGAUUUUCUAGGAUAUUUGAAGAGUCUGCUGACAGCGACCAGCAAAUCAGAGGAAAAUCAUUUCUGUAGCUAGGUUCUUUUUUCUUGGAUGUCCUUUAAAAGGAAGCUCUGCUGUAGCGAUGUGCUUUCCUUCCUGGCAGGUGGCCUUCAGUAGCUGGCCUUUUGUUGGUCCGGUUCCAGCAUAUUUUAUUAAGUGAAAAAUCCUGUAGAACAGAUGGCACUUACAAGUUUCUGCCCAUGUAGCACUCUGUUUAAUGAAAUACUAUAGUUUUGCUUCAUUGUUUUUGGCAGUAAUUGUCUUUGUGUGGAGUUUGAGUACAUGGUCCGAGAAGCUCGGCAAUAAUAAAGGUUGAGCCAGACAAGGAUAAUCUGAAGUGAUUGAGUAAUGAUGGGACAGAGGCUUCGGAGUGGAGUGCAGUUACAUUGAAAACAGAUGCAGAAUAAAAAGAUGAUGCACAAUUUUUUUUUUUUUUUUUUUUGAGAUGGAGCCUCGCUGUGUUGCCCAGGCUGGAGUGCAGUGGCGCGAUCUUGGCUCACUGCAAGCUCCACCUCCUGGAUUCACGCCAUUCUCCUGCCUCAGCCUCCUGAGUAGUUAGGACUACAGGCGCCUGCCACCACACCCAGCUAAUUUUUUGUAUUUUUUAAUAGAGACGGGGUUUCACCGUAUUAGCGAGGACGGUCUCGAUCUCCUGACCUCAUGAUCCUCCCACCUCGGCGUCCCAAAGUGCUGGGAUUACAGGCCUGAGCCACCGCGCCCGGGCGAUGAUGCACAACUUUUUUUUUUUUUUUUUUUUUUUGAGAAGGAGUCUCGCUCUUUUGCCCAGGCUGGAGUGCAAUGGCGUGAUCUCAGCUCACUGCAACCUCCACCUGCCAUAUUGUCCAGGCAGCUAGUGGUCUGCUUCUGUCACUAUAGGCUAAGAAAGUUUGCCUCUUCUAGAAUUACAUUGGCGCAGAAUUACACAAACUGUACUCUUUUGUUUGGUUACCUUCACCUGACCCAGCUAUUUGGAUUUAGCCAUGUUGAGUGUUGAGUUCCAGCCUUUUCAGUACUGGGUAGUAUUCCUUUGGGGAUGUCCCACAGUUUGCUUGUCUCUUCACCUCUUGAUGGACAUUUUUGUUGUUCCCACUGUUUGAAUCUGCUGUUCACAUUCAUGUACAAGUGUCUGUGUGGACAUAGGUUUUCAUUUCUUGUGGGUAAAAUGUGGUAAGCGUAUAUUCUACUCUAAGAAACUGCAAGGCUUUCUCAAAGCGGCCAUGCCGUUUUCUAUCUGCACCAGCAGUGUAUGAGAAUGCUUCUUCUGUGUCCUCACCAACAUUUGAUAUUGUCAGUCUUCUUUUUUUGAGACAGUCUCACUCUGUCGGCCAGGCUGGAGUGCAGUGGUGUGAUCUUGGCUCACUGAAACCUUCACCUCCCAGGUUUAAGCAGUUCUCUGGUCUUAGCCUCCCGAGUAGCUGGGAUUACAGGCAGACUCCCCCACGCCCAGCUAAUUUUUUUAUUUUUAGUAGAGAUGGAGUUUCACCAUGUUGGCCAGUCUCGAACUCCCUAUCUCAAGUGAUUCGUCCGCCUUGGCCUCCCAAAGUGCUGGGAUUACAGGUGUGAGCCACUGCGCCCAGCUCAGUCGUCUUAAUUUUAUAAGAUAAUUAUAAAUCUUAUAAAUUAUCUUAUUUUAAAAUAAGAUAAAAAUUAUCU